AGCUGCAUCGGCCCACAUGUACUGUACGUACGGCAUGAGAAGGGCGGGUCCAUCAUUGCCAGUGCUGGUAUGGUAUGUCACUAUACUAUGUGAUGGGUUGCUCGUAUUUUCCAGCAGGACACGUAUAGGCUCUCGGCCAAGAACGGGAAAUUUCACCUUCCAUAUGAAAUGACACAGUGGAAGCCAACUUUUACAAUUAGAGGUUAGAGGACCUGCUGGGUCGGGCAACAAGAAGUAUGUGCAACAUCAAGUUGGUGGAUGGAUGUCUAGGUUACCAAGUCCACCAUAUGGUGACAGUUACCAUCAAGGGUCAGGUGCAGUCAAUGCUAGGUCAGAUUCACACAAAAGGGCUGAAACACCACCAACUGCAACAAGCGGCCCUUGCACAGUCACAGCGUCUUCCGGCUGAAACUGAGCGGCAGUAACUGAUGGGCCAGCUUCGUACAAGUGGGCCACCAACUGCAAAGAGCGGCCCUUGCGCAGUUACAGUGCUUCUGGCUGAAGCUGGGUGGCAGCAAAUGUCUGACCGAGGAAUCUAGUCGGGUUGUCUUGUGGCCCUGCCCACACUCCCUUAACAAGAACAGGAUGAGUCAUCUAGUCCCUAACCCAGUCCCCAACAGUGGGUGCAGUGCCAAAAACCCUAUUAUUGAGCUGACACUGGGCGUCGCGUGUGAGAUGAUCUACCAGUCUUUUGGAGCCACCCCAUGGUUGGAGAGCACUUGAACCUUCUUUAAAGGCUACUUACGAGGAUCCUGGCUGCUAGUUUUGGAGCCAUAAUACCCUACGCUGCCCCGACCUCUUACUUUGUAGAGACCCAGACCAGAGCCCCUAUAGAGCUGACAGGCUGACGCUGGAAGCCAUGCUGGAGGAGACUAGAGAUAGGCCUAAGACCAAGCUAGGCAUCCGCAAAUGCAAGAAUGCAUGGGGACAAUCACCAACAAGUGUGACUGCCAAGGCCGUGCUGGUUUCCAGUAAAUGCUUGCGAAGGAGAUCGAGAGACCACUUGGCUUAGCUCCAGCACCCUCUGCGGCCCUCACCUGGAGACCUCUUACCCAGAGACAUAUAGACUGGAUCAUACAGGUGGAGCUAGAAGGGACCCAUGCUGGAGGGAGCCCACGCUGGAGGGGGCUUACGCUGGAGGGAGCCCACACUGGAGGGAACCUAUGCUGGAGGGGACCCACGCUGGAGGGGACCCAUGCUGGAGGGGACCCAUGCUGGAGGGACCCACGCUGGAGGGAACCUAUGCUGGAGGGGACCCACGCUGAAGGGGACCCAUGCUGGACGGGACCCACACUGGAGGGGACCCACGCUGGAGGGAACCCAUGCUGGAGGGGACCCAUGCUGGAGGGGACCCACACUGGAGGGGACCCACGCUGGAGGGAGCCCACACUGGAGGGAGCCCACGCUGGAGGGAGCCCACGCUGGAGGGAACCCACGCUGGAGGGAACCCACGCUGGAGGGGACCCACGCUGGAGGGGACCCACGCUGGAGGGGACCCUCGCUGGAGGGGACC